ACAGUUCAUCAAUGAAAUUGAAAUUCUUACUCGCCUUAGGCAUCCAAAUCUUGUUAUCCUUUAUGGAUGCACAUCAAGACGUAGUCGUGAACUCUUCCUUGUUUAUGAGUACAUUCCCAAUGGAACAAUUGGUGAUCACCUGCACGGUCAUAGAGCAAAGAAUAAGUUACUUACAUGGCCUAUACGGCUCAAAAUCGCUAUAGAAAUUGCCAGUGCAUUGACUUACCUUCAUGCUUCUUACAUCAUACACCGCGAUGUCAAGACUAAUAACAUUCUCCUGGACAAUGACUUUUGUGUCAAAGUAGCAGAUUUCGGGCUGUCAAAACUCUUCCCCAAUGAUGUUACUCAUAUCUCAACUGCACCUCAGGGGACCCCGAGAUAUGUUGAUCCUCAGUAUCAUGAAUGUUACCAGCUUACCGAUAAGAGUGAUGUUUAUAGCUUUGGGGUUGUCCUCGUCGAGCUCAUAUCAUCAAUGCCUGCAGUGGAUAUGAAUAGACAUAUAGAAGAGAUUAACUUGGCUAACUUCGCGAUGAACAGGAUACUAAAAUGUGCGUUUGAUGAAGUGAUCGAUCCAUCUCUGCAUGAGAUUAAUUUGGCUAACUUCGCGAUGAACAAGAUACCAAAAUGUGCGUUUGAUGAAGUGAUCGAUCCAUCUCUUGGAUUCAAGACAGAUGCUGAAAUUAGGAGGAUGA
rnacentral:lncRNA from 1 species